AACGAACGCUGGCGGCAGGCCUAACACAUGCAAGUCGAGCGCCCAGCAAUGGGAGCGGCAGACGGGUGAGUAACACGUGGGAACCUUCCCUAUAGUACGGAAUAUACCAGGGAAACUUGGAGCAAUAACGUAUACGCCCGAGAGGGGAAAGAUUUAUCGCUAUAGGAUGGGCCCGAGUUGGAUUAGCUAGUUGGUGAGGUAACGGCUCACCAAGGCAACGAUCCAUAGCUGGUUUGAGAGAAUGACCAGCCACACUGGGACUGAGACACGGCCCAGGCUCCUACGGGAGGCGGCAGUGGGGAAUCUUGGACAAUGGGCGCAAGCCUGAUCCAGCCAUGCCGCGUGAGUGAUGAAGGCCUUAGGGUUGUAAAGCUCUUUUGCCGGGGACGAUAAUGACGGUACCCGGAGAAUAAGUCCCGGCUAACUUCGUGCCAGCCGCCGCCGUAA
rnacentral:rRNA from 1 species